UGGGGAAUAUUGCACAAUGGGCGCAAGCCUGAUGCAGCAACGCCGCGUGAGGGAUGACGGCCUUCGGGUUGUAAACCUCUUUUAGCAGGGAAGAAGCGAAAGUGACGGUACCUGCAGAAAAAGCGCCGGCUAACUACGUGCCAGCAGCCGCGGUAAUACGUAGGGCGCAAGCGUUAUCCGGAAUUAUUGGGGCGUAAAGAGCCUCGUAGGCGGUUUGUCGCGUCUGCUGUGAAAUCCCGAGGCUCAACCUCGGGUCUGCAGUGGGUACGGGCAGACUAGAGUGCGGUAGGGGAGAUUGGAAUUCCUGGUGUAGCGGUGGAAUGCGCAGAUAUCAGGAGGAACACCGAUGGCGAAGGCAGAUCUCUGGGCCGUAACUGACGCUGAGGGGCGAAAGGGUGGGGAGCAAACAGGCUUAGGAUACCCUGGUAGUCCACCCCGUAAACGUUGGGAACUAGUUGUGGGGGUCCAUUCCACGGAUUCCGUGACGCAGCUGAACGCAUU
rnacentral:rRNA from 1 species